AUUGCUUCUCGGCCUUUUGGCUAAGAUCAAGUGUAGCAUCUGCAUCUGUUCUUAACAGUUUAAUAAAUUAUUAAAUCCUUUUUUUUUUAAGGUUGAGGUCUA
rnacentral:snRNA from 1 species